CACGAAGUUAGCCGGGGCUUCUUCUCACGCUACCGUCAUUAUCGUCGCGUGCGAAAGAGCUUUACAACCCUAAGGCCGUCAUCACUCACGCGGCAUGGCUGGAUCAGGCUUGCGCCCAUUGUCCAAUAUUCCCCACUGCUGCCUCCCGUAGGAAUCUGGGCCGUGUCUCAGUCCCAGUGUGGCUGAUCAUCCUCUCAGACCAGCUACUGAUCGUCGCCUUGGUAGGCCAUUACCCUACCAACCAGCUAAUCAGACGCGGGCCGAUCCUUCAGCGAUAAAUCUUUCCCCUUGCGGGCGUAUCCGGUAUUAGCCCAAGUUUCCCUGGGUUAUUCCAAACUGAAGGGCACGUUCCCACGCGUUACUCACCCGUCUGCCACUCACCCCGAAGGAUGCGUUCGACUUGCAUGUGUUAAGCCUGCCGCCAGCGUUCGUUCUGAGCCAGGAUCAAAC
rnacentral:rRNA from 1 species